AUCUUUUUGUAUCAAAAAAAUUAAAAGUAGAUGAGAUAGAAAGAUGAAGAAGGUUUGUAACGACCCAGCCCACUAGCAAUAAUAAUUCGUUGGGCCCAACAACCGGCCCAAAAUGCUUAAGCCCAUUUAUUAUUAUUAGUGUUUAAGUCUCUUAUAAACCCAAUGACAACCUCAUUCCCAUCCGAUGUCGGACUAUUGGGGUGUCACAGACUCCCCCCGUUAAGGCAUCCUCGUCAGUCCAAUCACACACAACCCAAGAUCAUCGGGCGAUGUGAGACUCAUCUCGCUAGCCCGAGACUCAUCUCGCUAGCCCGUCAUCCAGACCCUGACUCAGCCGAGAUUCGUCAUACAUGUCUAGCUGGUGAACCGGCUCCGAUACCAAAUGUAACGACCCAGCCCACUAGCAACAAUAACUCGUUGCUUAAGCCCAAUUAUUAUUACUAGUGUUUAAGUCUCUUAUAAACCCAAUGACAACCCCAUUCCCAUCCAAU
rnacentral:lncRNA from 1 species